GGGUCAGGCCGGCGAAAGUCGCCACAGUUUGGGGAAAGCUGUGCAGCCUGUAACCCCCCCACGAAAGUGGG
rnacentral:misc_RNA from 1 species